AUACGUAGGUGAAAAGCGUUAUCCGGAUUUACUGGGUGUAAAGGGCGUGUAGGCGGUUUGGCAAGUCAGAAGUGAAAUUCCCGGGCUUAACUUGGGCGCUGCUUCUGAAACUGCUUAACUUGAGUGCUGGAGAGGAUAGUGGAAUUCCUAGUGUAGCGGUAAAAUGCGCAGAUAUUAGGAGGAACACCGGUGGCGAAGGCGGCUAUCUGGACAGUAACUGACGCUGAGGCGCGAAAGCACGGGGAGCAAACAGGAUUAGAUACCCUGGUAGUCCGUGCCGUAAACGAUGAAUACUAGGUGUAGGGGGUAUCGACUCCCUCUGUGCCGCAGUUAACACAUUAAGUAUUCCACCUGGGGAGUACGGCCGCAAGGUUGAAACUCAAAUGAAUUGGCGGGG
rnacentral:rRNA from 1 species